GUGACCUCAAAUCAGGUAGGACUACCCGCUGAACUUAAGCAUAUCAAUAAGCGGAGGAAAAGAAACUAACAAGGAUUCCCCUAGUAACUGCGAGUGAAGCGGGAAAAGCUCAAAUUUAAAAUCUGACAGUCUUUGGCUGUCCGAGUUGUAAUCUAGAGAAGUGUUAUCCGCGCUGGACCGUGUACAAGUCUCCUGGAAUGGAGCGUCAUAGAGGGUGAGAAUCCCGUCUUUGACACGGACUACCAGGGCUUUGUGAUGCGCUCUCAAAGAGUCGAGUUGUUUGGGAAUGCAGCUCAAAAUGGGUGGUAAAUUCCAUCUAAAGCUAAAUAUUGGCGAGAGACCGAUAGCGAACAAGUACCGUGAGGGAAAGAUGAAAAGAACUUUGGAAAGAGAGUUAAACAGUACGUGAAAUUGCUGAAAGGGAAACGCUUGAAGUCAGUCGCGUUGUCCAGGGAUCAACCUUGCUUUUGCUUGGUGCACUUUCUGGUUGACGGGUCAGCAUCAAUUUUGACCAUUGGAAAAAGAUUAAGGGAAUGUGGCAUCUUNGGAUGUGUUAUAGCCCUUGGUUGCAUCCGAUGGU
rnacentral:rRNA from 1 species